UGAAGUUAUUGAGAAGAGAUUAAUAAAAGGACUGUUUACAAGGUUGUGAGUGGGGCAAUGUAAAACCAACAAGGAAUGACAGAGCAUGUUGGCUAACAACAGCUAUUGCACCCCACGCCUGGAGGAGUAUAGGGAAGAAACAGUUACUAGAACCCCAAGAGAAAGGAGAAACUGAAGGAGGGGAUGCCUGGCUGGAGCUGUGGCCUUCAAUAGUGGAACACCGCUACAACCAGCCUGGCAGGGAGGCUUCUGUGGAUUUCUGAGAGAGCGGAGGAGGAGCAUGUACAAUCACCACAAGCUCCAUGGCUGACCAGCACAGGCAUUAGGCAGAAAAGUCAGAAAAGUGUUGUAUAAGAUUCACAUAGAAAUAAGGACAAGAACAAGAACUGCACAAGAGUUGACACUGGAGACUGGAAUGCUACUCAAAGAACAGAAUUCCCCCAAACAUCCAAGAUGACCCCUAGCAACUGAAUUAUCUUGACAUCACCUCAGCAGUAGAGUGCUGUUAGAUUUUGUGCCAUGCUGUCCAUAUCGCACCGGCCAGUCUACAUGUUAUUUGACUUUGAGUUCACUUCCCACUUUUGGCAAGCCUGGCUGUUGUUCUGUAGCAGGGUAACACAGGCUAAGAAUUGAGAUAUGUCAACUUAAGGAUUCACCGUGGUCAAGUUUCCUCUGCAGAAGACCAUGGAAGUGUGUCAUGGGCAUUCUGACUCUUGCCUUCUUCAAAAUAGCCCCACUAACAGAUGUCAGCAACUGAUUCCUUUGGAAGGAUAAACAAAUGGUAUAACCAGAUAAGGCUUUGAAGGCUUUGCAAUGGACCCCAAAUUAUAACUAGUUACACAGAAAUUUAAAGAAUGGAAUGAAUCUCUGUUUGGAUAGAUGUCCUAUAUAUUGCAGGCAUAACAGAACUGACCUUCCUCCCAGCCCUGUCGUGAGGAUGAAAUCCUGUGUGGAGCACUUUGAAAUCUUUGGAUGAAAAGCACGACAGAAGUGCCAAGUAUGAUUGUUACCCGUGCCAGCCACACUAGAAGACAGCAUAAAAAUAGGAAGCAAAGAAAAUUUCAUUUUACAAAAGCUUCAGUGAGAAAAUUGGCUGGUCAGAAUGUCAUUCCCUAGUUUUGGUUCACAUACACGUUGUCUUUUAUAAAAUUAAAGGAAAAAAAUAAUUGUACACAUUUUUGUCUUUGCCGGGAAGAAGCCCUUUGAUCAUCACCAUCCCUGCGACGCCAGGUGAGUCCCUGAUGCAGAAGGAAGAUCGAUACAUGAGGAGACCGUGUGGAAUCAGUUAUUUGUAGUUGCUCCCCAAUUUCUGUUUUUCAUUGCAAGGAAUCGAAGCCAUAAAGUCUGAGGGGGUGUUACAGGUUGAGGAUUAGGGAGUGUCUAAACCUUGACAUCGUCACAACAUAGGAUCCGAGAUACCUCCAGCUAAAACAGAGACUGUGCUUUCAGAACUGGCCCUGCACGCAGCCUCUACUCCAGUGCUCUCAGGUCCUGUCCUUAAUAGGAGAACAUGAGAGCUGCAGAUUUAAAAACCCAAGAGGGAACCUUUGCAACAACCUUUGUUAUAUUAGGAAUCCCAAAAUAAGCUAGAAGAGAGGAAUUUGAAUGUUCUCAACACAAAUGAUAAAUGUUUGAGAUGAUGGAUAUGCUAAAUACACUUAUUUGAUCAUUAAACAUCGUAUACAGAGGGCUCCCAUAAUUGUAUAAGCCUCAUGCCUCACAAAACCUGAAGGUGCCUUUGGUGAGGAGGAUCAUCAGAACACCAGCAGAGUACCUCGACGUGUGAAAUCUAGCACUGGAUUCCAUCCCUGACUUUUCCUAAGAAUCACUGUGAAUGCUCUGGACAAAUUGCUGCUGCGCUGGGUGCUCCCUGUGUCAUCACACUUCCUAAUUGUACUUCUGGGUCCUCUGAAGCUGUUCCCAGUGCUUAAUCGGUUCCCAGAUGUAGCAAAUAAAAAUAGAGGAUAUCCAGUUAUAUCUGAAUUUCAGAUCAAAACAAAUGAUUUUUAAAUAAAACAUACACUCCCAAAAGUGUGAAAUUAAUUUGUCCUUGGACAAGAGAUAUGGAAAUGUCAUGUAUUUUACCUGGAAAUCCUGUUAUUAUGCCCAUUUUUGGAGCUGAGGAAACUAAAGGUAGGAGCCUAGCUAAGAGAAGACAAUCUCCAGGAAACUACUGCUUCAGUUAUUUGACACUGGGCAGAAUUUUUGGUGAGAAAUCAGCAAGAUCAUAGCCUGGAGUGAACACUGGAGGCAUGAGAUGUCCUUGAGAAAGAGGCUAGAACAGAGGGUGGAACGCCCCUUCUAUUAAAGCAGUUGUUUUCCA
rnacentral:lncRNA from 1 species